CGUGCGCGCAGGUCGGUGGUGGAGCGGGCUCCCUGGUGGGCGGCGACCGCCGCCCGGUGGAGCGCCUGCCCCGGCUCGGUGUCCGGGGCGCAUGC
rnacentral:tRNA from 1 species